UUGUUGCUUCACUCGUGUUGCUGUUCUCCUCCUCCCUCUUUAUGUUCCCCCAAGGCCCUGGAGUUGCUUUCUUUGGAGCCUGUGUCUGUCUACGCUUUCUUUCCAGUGCCUUGGCCAGCUGGUCCCAGAAAUCUCUCAAUGGCCCAUCAGAGACCAGGUUGGCAGCUGUCACUCUUACUAUGGAAUUUAGGAAGAAGUUUCCUGGAUGUGGAAAUUUCCAUUCUUCAACAGAGCAAGAAAACAAGCGAGCUGCUCUGUUCCUUGUGCUUGUAAUGAACAUCUCCUUUCUAAACAGAAAUACACCUGUCAGAGUCUCAGCCACUCCCUCACCUCAUGCUCACAGGUCCAAAUCACCCUGCGGGCUGCCACCCUCACUAACUGCUUCCCAGUGUCUCUGUGAACAAGACAUGGCAAGUUCUUCCAUGCCCACUGCUUCAUUCCUGAGAGAAUAAGCAUCCUCUCCAGCCAUGGCCUGCCCAGUUGAACCACCACAGAGUUCUUCCAUCAGCCCUGGCCCUUUGUAUCUGAGACAUUUUACAAAACAAAUUCAUUUUUUCUAGA